UGCGCGACCGGACCGAGUGCGCGAGCGGACAUGACGUGUGGCUGUCGUAAAAACCCUAUAUGUAAACAACCAGUCCUUUAACUCAGCGCUGCGUCAUAAACACGGAGCGCUUGGAAGACCACGAUGUCAUCUUCCUUCUGUCAGGUAAGUAGUUUAUUGUUUUUAAAGAUCGUUACGAUCUAGGUUUACAGUCCGAGUGCGGAGAGAGUCCGUCAAUCCACACUAUGGACGCUGUUCAUCAGCUAAUACGCCAUUGUUAGCCACAUGCUUCAGCCCACGGUAGCCUGUGCUACCUGGGAGGUGAAUACAUGGUUGUUGAAAACCAGUUCAAGACGCUUAGCUCAUCAUUGAGGGACGCUACAAUAUAAAUAUAAACAUGAAUUUUAUUUAUGAAUGCUUAAGAUUAAUAAGGAGUGUAUUUGUCUACCAUUACUCCACAAUAUCAGAUCAAUUUGGUUUAAUGUAUAGUAUGCAAUAUGACAAUGUUUUCAUGUUAUGGAGUUGCGAUUCAUUUUAUAAAACAAUUGCUAUGUUCUGUUUUUUAAUCAAGGAGGAUCAAAGUGAAGCUACAGGAGUUUCAUUAACGUCAACAACUUGGACCGAACAGUUUGUUUGCUUGAUGAAGAGCAGGAAGGGCAGCCUGGAGAGAAAGAGAAGCCGGGUUGAGCCCACUACCAUCAUCCAUGUACCACAAGGAAGAUAAGGGAGAGAAAUGAUCCUACCAUUAAAGAGACUGUGAAAAGAACGUUGAGAACAUCACCACUCUACAGGAAGACACAGUCCAGUAAUGGGUGUCAGAAGUUCAGUAGUGAACGACAGAAACAAACAAUCCAAAUUACCUGCAGAAAGCCCUUGAUGGACGCUUCAGGAGCAUCGUCAGACUGGC